rnacentral:tRNA from 1 species
UAUUACUUUGACAGAUUAGUGUGGUAAAUUUAGAAUUUAUUUAUGUAAGUUUUUUACAAGUAAUA